rnacentral:rRNA from 1 species
GACGAACGCUGGCGGCGUGCUUAACACAUGCAAGUCGAACGGAAAGGCCCUGCUUUUGUGGGGUGCUCGAGUGGCGAACGGGUGAGUAACACGUGAGUAACCUGCCCUUGACUUUGGGAUAACUUCAGGAAACUGGGGCUAAUACCGGAUAGGAGCUCCUGCUGCAUGGUGGGGGUUGGAAAGUUUCGGCGGUUGGGGAUGGACUCGCGGCUUAUCAGCGUGUUGGUGGGGUAGUGGCUUACCAAGGCUUUGACGGGUAGCCGGCCUGAGAGGGUGACCGGAAACAUUGGAACUGAGAGACGGCCCAGACUCCUACGGGAGGCAGAAGUGGGGAAUAUUGCACAAUGGGCUGAAGCCUGAUGCAGCCACGCCGUGUGCGGGAUAACGGCCUUCGGGUUGUAAACCGCUUUCGCCUGUGACGAAGAGUGAGUGACGGUAAUGGGUAAAGAAGCACCGGCUAACUACGUG